rnacentral:rRNA from 1 species
UACAGAGGGUGCAAGCGUUAAUCGGAAUUACUGGGCGUAAAGCGUGCGUAGACGGUUACAUAAGUCAGAUGUGAAAGCCCCGGGCUCAACCUGGGAAUUGCAUUUGAGACUGCGUAGCUAGGGUGCGGAAGAGGGAAGCGGAAUUUCCGGUGUAGCGGUGAAAUGCGUAGAUAUCGGAAGGAACACCAGUGGCGAAAGCGGCUUCCUGGUCCAGCACCGACGUCAGGCACGAAAGCGUGGGGAGCAAACAGG